GCUUGAUCCAAGCAAUCACUGCACCGGUGCAAGACUGUCGCUGUGUUGGAGUGUCCAAUACUCAAAUCCCUUUUACUGAAAUUAAGAAUUACAGCAUUCAAAACGACAAAAAAUGUUCCGUCAACGCAGUAGUGUUUACGAGAGUGAAUAAGAAGAUAAUUUGCUCUGACCCCAACAGCAGAUGGGCAAAGUCAGUCAUUCAGAGGCUGAAGUCAAAACCAAAACCAAACAGGCAGUCAACAAUAAAACCAAAGGUGUUCUUACCAACAGAACCAAACCUGAAC